rnacentral:rRNA from 1 species
AUUGAACGCUGGCGGCAUGCCUUACACAUGCAAGUCGAACGGUAACAGGUCUUCGGAUGCUGACGAGUGGCGAACGGGUGAGUAAUACAUCGGAACGUGCCUAGUAGUGGGGGAUAACUACUCGAAAGAGUGGCUAAUACCGCAUGAGAUCUACGGAUGAAAGCAGGAGAUCGCAAGACCUUGUGCUACUAGAGCGGCCGAUGGCAGAUUAGGUAGUUGGUGGGAUAAAAGCUUACCAAGCCGACGAUCUGUAGCUGGUCUGAGAGGACGAUCAGCCACACUGGGACUGAGACACGGCCCAGACUCCUACGGGAGGCAGCAGUGGGGAAUUUUGGACAAUGGGCGAAAGCCUGAUCCAGCAAUGCCGCGUGCAGGAUGAAGGCCUUCGGGUUGUAAACUGCUUUUGUACGGAACGAAAAGCCCUGGGUUAAUACCCUGGGGUCAUGACGGUACCGUAAGAAUAAGUACCGGCUAACUACGUGCCAGCCGCCGCGGUAA